rnacentral:rRNA from 1 species
UACGUAGGGUGCAAGCGUUAUCCGGAAUUAUUGGGCGUAAAGAGCUCGUAGGCGGUUUGUCGCGUCUGCUGUGAAAACUGGGGGCUCAACUCCCAGCCUGCAGUGGGUACGGGCAGACUAGAGUGCGGUAGGGGAGAUUGGAAUUCCUGGUGUAGCGGUGGAAUGCGCAGAUAUCAGGAAGAACACCCGUGGCGAAGGCGGCUCUCUGGAACGCAACUGACGCUGAGACGCGAAAGCGUGGGGAGCAAACAGG